rnacentral:rRNA from 1 species
UACGUAGGGUGCAAGCGUUGUCCGGAAUUAUUGGGCGUAAAGAGCGUGUAGGCGGCCCGAUUAGUCCGCUGUGAAAGUCCAGGGCUCAACCCUGGAAUGCCGGUGGAUACUGUCGGGCUAGAGUCCGGAAGGGGCGAGUGGAAUUCUGGUGUAGCGGUGAAAUGACGCAGAUAUCAGGAGGAACACCGGUGGCGAAGGCGGUCUCUGGCAUUACCUGACGCUGAGGAGCGAAAGUGUGGGGAGGCGAACAGG